UUCGCAAUGGCCGAGGGGUUAAAGUGAUGGAAUAGAAAUCCAUUGGGGAUUCCUCGCGCAGGUGCAAAUCCUGCUCACGACG
rnacentral:tRNA from 1 species